GACGAACGCUGGCGGCGUGCUUAACACAUGCAAGUCGAACGGUAAGGCCCUUCGGGGUACACGAGUGGCGAACGGGUGAGUAACACGUGGGUGAGCUGCCCUGCACUUCGGGAUAAGCCUGGGAAACUGGGUCUAAUACCGGAGAAGACAACUGCCUGACUGGGUGGGGGUGGAAAGCUUUUGCGGUGUGGGAUGGGCCCGCGGCCUAUCAGCUUGUUGGUGGGGUGAUGGCCUACCAAGGCGACGACGGGUAGCCGGCCUAAGAGGGUGACCGGCCACACUGGGACUGAGAUACGGCCCAGACUCCUACGGGAGGCAGCAGUGGGGAAUAUUGCACAAUGAGCGCAAGCCUGAUGCAGCGACGCCGCGUGAGGGAUGACGGCCUUCGGGUUGUAAACCUCUUUCAGCACCGACGAAGCGCAAGUGACGGUAGGUGCAGAAGAAGGACCGGCCAACUACGUGCCAGCCGCCGCAGUAA
rnacentral:rRNA from 1 species